GCUCUCCAUAUAUAGAAGAAACUUUCUUCUAUUUCAAGAAACAAUGGUUAUCACACAAUUUAUUAGCUUGUAAGCUAUAUAUAGUUUAGAGUUCUACUAUAUAGAAACAUUCACAGACAUAGCCCAUGAUUGUGAGAGUUAUAACUCUCCUGGAGACAAUAUAUCCUGCAUGUACAGUACAAUACAUGCAUUAAAGUAGUGAUACAAUAUUAUCAUAAACUGUUCUAUUUAAUGUGUUCAUUUAUAUUUAGCUUAGGAAGUUCUCCACGUCAAUU